CCUACGGGUGGCAGCAGUGAGGAAUAUUGGUCAAUGGACGAGAGUCUGAACCAGCCAAGUAGCGUGAAGGAUGACUGCCCUAUGGGUUGUAAACUUCUUUUAUAUGGGAAUAAAACGUUCCACGUGUGGGAUUUUGUAUGUACCAUAUGAAUAAGGAUCGGCUAACUCCGUGCCAGCAGCCGCGGUAAUACGGAGGAUCCGAGCGUUAUCCGGAUUUAUUGGGUUUAAAGGGAGCGUAGGUGGAUUGUUAAGUCAGUUGUGAAAGUUUGCGGCUCAACCGUAAAAUUGCAGUUGAAACUGGCAGUCUUGAGUACAGUAGAGGUGAGCGGAAUUCGUGGUGUAGCGGUGAAAUGCUUAGAUAUCACGAAGAACUCCGAUUGCGAAGGCAGUUCACUGGACUGCAACUGACACUGAGGCUCGAAAGUGUGGGUAUCAAACAGGAUCAGAUACCCCAGUAGUC
rnacentral:rRNA from 1 species